GCGGUCCUCUUCCGUCCUCAACCCCACGCCUCCGCUGAGGACGUAUCCUUGAGCGCUACAAGCAAAAUGUCAAGCGAAGAGAUGCUAAUUGCUAGGGGAGGUAAACACUGCGCGCAGUCGGGGAGGAAGUCAAGCGUGAAGAUCAAUCUCCCACAUCACCUUCAUCAAAUAACUUUGACUGAGUGAGGCGCCCUAAUUAGCCGGGUACUCGCUGACUGCCUCCCUCGCCUGCCGGGGUCUCUGAAAUUGCCGGAUAGAAGCCAGCAGUUCCCCCGCAUACCACUGCGGGGCAGUGUUGUAUCAGCAGACGGUAGAAUGCAGUCAGGAACCGGCGAGAAGUCGAACGGAGCGUCGGGAUAUGCAUUCGAGUUGAUUAAAAGUUGUCUAAAAAUGCACAUAUGGACUGCAUAUCCCCGACAAGUUUAUCAGACAUGACGAAACUGCCUGUUUGCUGUGGCCUUGAUGCACAGGUAUUUAUAAAAGUUAUGACUGGCUAUAAUGAUACCAAACCUCC